UUCACUGUAUGGCGUGCUCGUUUGGGUUGGGCGUCGGCUAAGAGUGCUCGGAGCGUGGAUUAACUCCAGUCUCCUAUCAGGUGUGUAUUUUCUCGCUACUCUAGUUGUAGGAUGGCUACUUCGGGCCGCGAUGGGCCGAAAUGGGUUAUGUGGGCCUAAUGGGCCUACAGGCCCAACUGGAUAAGUUGUUUGAUUGUGUAGUAAAUAUUGGACUAGACUAGGUGAAUCUUGUAACACCCCGUACCCGAGUCCGUCGCCGGAGUCGGACACGAGGGGUUUGCAGACUUAAAUCACUUCUUUGCACAAUCCAUUUUAAUUUUUCCAGGCAAGCUGGCUAACUGCGUCACUGUUACCUUAAAAAUCAUAUCUUGAGUUUCACAACUCGAAAAUCAGUUUCGUGAUUUUUCCCUGAAACUAGACUCAUAUAUGCAUCUACAUAUUUUUUUCUAGAAUUUUUGGUCAGGCCAAUUAGUACAGUUUAUUAGUCAAAGUCUCCCAUGUUACAGGGAUCAACUACACUGACCUUUGCGCAUUACGACUUGGAUAUCUCCCUGUACAGGGCUUCAAUACUGAUGCCAUUUCUUUCUAUAGAAGGUAGACUCAAAAAGGAAUCUAUACAUAUAUGGCAUGACUUCUAAAUGUCUCUGGUUAAUUUAUAAUGAAUUUCCAAAGUCAGAUCAGGGGAUCCAGAAACCGUUCUGGCCCUGUCUCACGAAAACUUUAACAUCUCAUAAUAUACUGUUCAUAUGAAUGUUUCGUUACUUUCCUAUGAAAAUAGAUUCAUCAAGGUUCGAUUAAAUAAUUUAUUCACUAUUUAACCUACUAUUUUUACUGAUUUUUCACAUCCACAUCACUGCUUCUGCCAGCAUCUAUUUUUAAGGUAAACUUUACCUAUUUCAUGAUCCUCCAUGGAUCAACUAGAGUUUGUCAUACAUAUUCCAAAAAUGAUCAUGAAUAACCAUUCCCAUGGCUAACCGUUACCAACAUUUCCAUACCUCUCAACGGACAACAUACAAAACGAUUAUAAAGCUAUGAUCAAAGUAUAUUUAAGCCAUUUUCGCAUGGCUAUCCAAAUUUACACAAAACCGAAGGGUACAUGACCAACAACAAAAGGGUAGUCCUAUACAUGCCAUUUCAAAGUUCAACCAAAAGUAUACCAAAAGGAGCUUUGAUAGUGUGGGCGACUUCGACUUCAAAAUCCCGAGUCCGAUAGCUGAAGAACCAAAAUCUAUAAAAUAGAGAAUCAAAGAAACGGAGUAAGCAUUAAAUGCUUAGUAAGUUUUGAGCAAAGAAUUUAGACACAACCAAAGUAUAGCAUUCAUGUAGCUAAACGGAUAAUUUCAUAUGCACAAAUUUUCAAUAUCAUACUUACUUCACAUUACCAACCCUUUUAUUCAUACACAAAGAUCAACUUAGCCAAAGGCCGGUAGCUCAUUUAUCAACUGAGCGAAUACUUAUUUGUAAGGGCUCAACUAAUUCAAAGCACAUACGAAACAUACCUCAAUGUUGGGAUGUUACAAGCGUAUUAACUGAAAUUUUUACAGCAAGAUCAUUCAUUCCCAAAUCACGUACCUUCGAAAUUUAACCGGAUAUAGCUACUCGUUCAAAUGCCUUCGGGAUAUAGCCCGGUUAUAGUAACUCGCACAAAUGCCUUCGGGACUUAACCCGGAUUUAGUAACUCGCACCAAUGCCUUCAGGCUUAGCCCGGAAUUAGUAUCUCACACAAAUGCCUUCGGAUCUUAGUCCGGAUAUGGUCACUUAGCACAAAGCCUUCGGGACUUAGCCCGGACAUCAUUCGAAUAACCAUGUACAUUUAACAAUAAAUCAUGACACAUUCGUAUUUCAUUUUCAUUAGCAAAACUCAAACACAAGACACUUAUCACUCUUGCAAUUUCGGCUCAAUAGCCACACACAAAGAGCAUGAUUUUGAUUUGCUUAAAACAUGAUCUAAUCAAAUCAUAAUUUAAGCUCUAUUACUUAAGAACUUACCUCGGAUGUGGUCGAACGUUUUCAGCGGCUAUUCGAUAACUUUUUCCUUUCCCUUAUCCAACUGUGGUCCUCUAAGCUCUUGAGCUAAUUCAAACAAAUUUAACUUAUUAAAGUCUCAUUAUGCUAGCUUAUGGCCGAAUAUGACAAGGAGUUUGAUUGGUCAUAUGGCCACCUUCUAGCUCAACUACACAAUGGUCAUAUGCAUUUUUAAUCAUAUCAAGCAAUUUAAUACAAUUCAUUCGAACAUCAAAAGAAAACCUCAAGGUACUUAGCCCAUAUAUACUUUAGGCAUUAGAGUCACAUAUAUAUAUGGAAUCAUGAAUCAAACUCAACAUUUUAGCUAAUAUUCCCCCUUGGCCGAAUUUUCUAAGCCAAGACAAAAGCAUCAAUAUGCUUGCCUCUAACCAAAUACAUGCAACACCAAUCUUCUUCCUAUGGUCGAAUAUGCAUGUCUAUGUUGAGGCCGAUUAUAUACUUAAUACCACACAUAAAUGGCAUACAUUUUACUAACUAAUGCAUUACAUAUUAUAACUCAAUACGCAUCCAUCAUUUAAUCCAUAACCGAAGCACCAUCAUGUGUAAGUAUAUACCUUGAGAUAAUAUGUAGGUCAUACCAAUACAUCAUGUGCAAUCAUAUAUAUAUGUGCAAGAGCCGAAUCACAAAUUUGAUUAUAACCAAAUUUAAACAUAUAUCCAAAACAUAAAUCUUACCUACCAUGCAAUAAGCAUAAAUCACACUUAUGGAUAUACCAUGGCCGAUACUUCCAACAACACCAAAUAAAAAUAUACUUCAUGGAUCUAAGGUAGAACCAAGAAAGAAACUCAUAAUCAUCAAGAUGUAAGCAACUACCAUUGUUCAUCUAGAUUUAGCAUGAAACACAACCAUCACCCUUAUUAAUCUCCAUAGCCGAAAACCUUACUUAUUCCAAAAUCACAAUUUCAACAUGGGUUACCAACAAUAACUUGAUAUCUCACUCAAAAUCAACUAGGAUUUCAAGAACUAGUAUCAACUUCCUUACCUUAAUAUCGACCUAAGAUGACCGAUUGCUUCACUCCGUCCUUCCUCCUCUCAAUCUGGCCAAGAAGAACCAAAGAACACAACUUGUUUCCUUUCUUCCUUAGAACAUUCGGCCAAGAGAAAUGAAAAAAAAGAUGGACACUUUUUUUUUGUUUUCUUUCUUACAUUCACGGCAAUGGGGAGGGGGAGAAACAAUCACACACCUUCUUUCUUUUUUCCAUUUCUUUAUUACUAACUUUAUUUUAUUGUUUCCUCCCAUGAUGCACCAACACAACAUGUCUAUGACAUGUUUUGCCCAUCACCCUUUGUCCAUCCUAAUGUCAUGGCCGGCCACUACUAGAUGGGGGGAAAAAUUGACAUGCAAGUCCCCCCUUUUUCAACAUACACUAAUAGGUCCUUAUGUUUUGAUCUAUCACAUUUCAAAAAUGUCACACAUAAGUCCUAUUGACUAAAUUCACGUACAAUUUACUAAAUCGAAGCUUAAAAUUUUCACACAUUUAUUUUAGACAAUAAAUAUCAUAUUCAAAUAAUUUGGUGACUCGGUUUAGCGGUCCCGAAACCGCUUUCCUACUAGGGUCGCUUUAGGGCUGUCGCAAAUCUCAUAUUUAUGGCUAGAUUUGGGCUAAAAGUGCCACAGCAGCGUGUGGAACCAUUUGGGUCGAGAAUAGGAUUUAGGCCCAUUCGUAUUGUUAUCCCUGUUUAGAAUACUUUAGUUUACCAAAUUACUGAAAUGCCCUCAUUUUGUAAAAUUACCAAAGUACCCUCGGUUUACAAAAUUACCAUUUUACCCUCGAUUUACAGAAUUACCAUUUUACUCUCAAUUUAUAGAAUUACUGUUUUACCCUCGAUCUAUAGAAUUACCAUUUUACCCUCGAUUUAUAGAAUUACCGUUUUACCCUCGAUUUACAAAAUUACCAUUUUACCCUCAGUUUACAAAUUUACCAUUUUACCCUCGAUUGUGAAAUUACUGAAAUACCCCUGUAGGAUAGAAUUACCGAAAUACCCUCAAUUUGUAAAAUUACCAAAAUACCCCUGAUUUACAAAAUUACAGAAAUACCAUUGACUUUCUAAAACUUAUAAAAAUACCAUUGGUUUAUAAAAUUUUUGAACUACCCUUGGUUUGUAGAUUUACCAAAACACCCUUGUAGGAUGAAAUGAUUAAAAUACCCCUAAUAGGUAAAAAGACCGUAAAGCCCCUGUAGGGGAAAGUGACCGUAAUACCCUUGUAUGGUAAAAUGACGAAUAUGCCCUUAUGUUUCAUAUGACUGAUGUGCUUAGGAUUUACAUAUAUUGAUAUUGGAUUAGUUAGUUUGAGUGACAGGUGGCGGUUAUCGUAAGUGAUUGAUUAUGGAAACAUUUCAACUUCAACCCGUAACAGGUGUGUACUAACCCUCGUAAUAGCUUAGAUUAAUAUUUGCUGAGAAGCCGAAAUGCUAAAAUACCGGUAUUUCGGGAAUUUGUAAUGUUGCGUUUGGGUAUAGAUGCGAUAAAUACGAUAAGAUCAGUGUUUGGAUUGAUGGAACAUGUAAGAACUCAAUUUUUUGCACUAUGGUAAGUUGGGCCUCAAUGGGCUGGAAUCGGGCCCAAUGGGCUUCGGGCUCGUUUGGGUAAAACUGAUAGAAAAUGGAAUCUGGACAAGUUGCAAGUUAACACGGUUAGUACUGUUGUAAAAUUUGGAUUAUGUGGGCUUAAUGGGCUAAAUCGGCAUUUGUAGGGCCCAUUAGAGGUUUUGGGCCCAAAAGCCCGAGUUUGAUAAAGUGGGUUAAAGAUCAUUGUUUAAACACUCGAAAAUAUUGAUAAUUGUUAAUGAACAUGGAAACCCUGAUUUUUGGUAAAAUUACAAAAAUACCCUUAGAAUAUGAAAAAUGACUAUUUUGCCCUUGUGGGCAAGUGACUGACUUGGACUGUGUGGUUGACGGAUUUGAUUGUGAAUAUAUAUUGGUGAUAUGAAUGACUUGACUGUGAUUGUUUAAUUCAAAUAUGGGCAUGACAUUCUCCAUACAUGACAUAUUGCAUGGGAUAUGGGUUAUAUUGAUGGAGGAAGUGCUAAAAGGGCUCUGCCCCAGUUCACCGAAAGGGCUUUGCCCCAGUUUAUCAGAAAAGGCUUUGCCCCAGUUAUUAAAAGAGGCUAGGCCUCUAGUUAUAUGAUAAAGUAGCUAUGCUGCCAGUGGAGAGUUUGGUUAGGUGGGUUGAGUUAUUCCCCACAUGGAGAGCUUGGUUGGUACGGAUGGAGAGUAGCGGAUGGUGGGUCGAGUAGUCUCCCCAAAUGGGCUUGCAUACAUUCAUUGACAUUACAUGUGAUAUUGAAAUGGGCUUGCAUACAUUCAUUGACAUUACAUGUGAUAUUGAAAUGGGCUUGCAUACAUCCAUUGACAUUACAUGUGAUAUUGAAAUGGGCUUAAGGGCCAUACCGUUUACAAUUAAGGCUUCGGCCCAGUGAUAUGAUUUAUGGAAAGGCUUCGGCCCAGUAUAUGUCAAGACUAAAUAGAGCUUUGGCCCAGAUUGUACUAAUACCGUGUUAUUUACUGUUUGUUUGUUAUUGGGAUUACACACUAAGUUUUCGUAAACUCACCCCGUUUCUAACUGUGCAGGUAAUCCCUAAGCUUAGAUGGUUUGGAGCUGCGAGGGACUCGGAGAUGGCCACACUACUAUUUUUGUUUCUUUUAAUUGCAAUAAGUAGCUGAUUUAUUUCUUUAUAAGUUUUAUCUUAUUAAUAUUAUUAUUUGGUUUUGGG
rnacentral:lncRNA from 1 species